ensembl:misc_RNA 7SK 7SK RNA
GGAUGUGAGGGAGAUCUGGCUGUGACAUCUGUCACUGCAUUGAUUGCCAGGGUUCAUUUGGUUGAUCUGGCUGACUAGGCAGGUGUGCCCUCACCACUCCAUGUGCGUACCCCUUGAAGCUGUGUGCUCAGUUGAAGUGGACCACCAUCCCCGCUAGAGGAGGACCAGUCUUCGGUCAAGGGUAUACAAGUAGCUGCGCUCCCCUGCUAGAACCUCCAAACAAGCUCUCAAAUAUAGAUACAAAUAAAAAAAAUUUUUAAAAAGAAAUUAGUGCAUUUUU